UACGGUGGGGGCUAGCGUUGUUCGGAAUUACUGGGCGUAAAGCGCACGUAGGCGGACUGGAAAGUCAGGGGUGAAAUCCCGGGGCUCAACCCCGGAACUGCCUUUGAAACUCCCAGUCUUGAGGUCGAGAGAGGUGAGUGGAAUUCCGAGUGUAGAGGUGAAAUUCGUAGAUAUUCGGAGGAACACCAGUGGCGAAGGCGGCUCACUGGCUCGAUACUGACGCUGAGGUGCGAAAGCGUGGGGAGCAAACAGG
rnacentral:rRNA from 1 species